rnacentral:rRNA from 1 species
UAGCUAGUUGGUAGGGUAAAGGCCUACCAAGGCGACGAUCGGUAGCUGGUCUGAGAGGAUGGCCAGCCACACUGGAACUGAGACACGGUCCAGACUCCUACGGGAGGCAGCAGUGGGGAAUAUUGGACAAUGGGGGCAACCCUGAUCCAGCAAUGCCGCGUGUGUGAAGAAGGCCUGAGGGUUGUAAAGCACUUUCAGUGGGGAGGAGGGUUGAUAGGUUAAGAGCUAAUUAACUGGACGUUACCCACAGAAGAAGCACCGGCUAACUCCGUGCCAGCAGCCGCGGUAAUACGGAGGGUGCGAGCGUUAAUCGGAAUUACUGGGCGUAAAGAGUGCGUAGGUGGUUAAUUAAGUUAUCUGUGAAAUCCCUGGGCUCAACCUGGGCAGGUCAGAUAAUACUGGUUAACUCGAGUAUGGGAGAGGGUAGUGGAACUUCCGGUGUAGCGGUGAAAUGCGUAGAGAUCGGAAGGAACACCAGUGGCGAAGGCGGCUACCUGGCCUAAUACUGACACUGAGGCACGAAAGCGUGGGGAGCAAACAGGAUUAGAUACCCUGGUAGUCCACGCCGUAAACGAUGUCAACUAGCUGUUGGUUAUAUGAAUAUAAUUAGUGGCGA